GAAGAAGAAGGAAGCAUGUCUAAAAAGGGAGGAGCUGCGCUUCAAAAGGAUGUUCCUUGGAGGGUCUUUUCCUCCAAACCCCUUCCUAAAAUUCACCACUCUCCUGUUCUCCGUGUCUCUCAAACCCCUUUCUCCACUUACGCCCUCUCCAUCAUGAAGCACCUCGACCCAAUAGGAACUGGUUUGGCAACCGAAGCCAUGGUGGAAGCCGCUGGUCCUGAUUGCAUUGUCCCUGGCCAGAUUACUCCCGUUCGA
rnacentral:misc_RNA from 1 species